UGGCUCUCGCAUCGAUGAAGAACGCAGCGAAAUGCGAUAAGUAAUGUGAAUUGCAGAAUUCAGUGAAUCAUCGAAUCUUUGAACGCACCUUGCGCUCCUUGGUAUUCCGAGGAGCAUGCCUGUUUGAGUGUCAUGAAAUUCUCAACCUCUCUAGUUUUUUUUAACUGGUUAGGCUUGGACCAUGGAAGUUGCUGGUUCUCUAUAUGAAACAGCUCUUCUCAAAUAUAUUAGCAAAAGACUGCUGCUGACCAACUCUGGUAUGAUAAUUAUCUAUAUCACCGCUGAUCAGUUCCCUUUAUCGGGAGGUCUUGCUUCUAAUCGUCUUUUAGACAACUUGAUAACUUUGACCUCAAAUCAGGUAGGACUACCCGCUGA
rnacentral:misc_RNA from 1 species